rnacentral:rRNA from 1 species
GGAAUAUUGGACAAUGGGCGCAAGCCUGAUCCAGCAAUGCCGCGUGGGUGAAGAAGGCCUUCGGGUUGUAAAGCCCUUUUGUACGGGAAGAAAUCCUGUCGGUUAAUACCCGGCGGGGAUGACGGUACCGUAAGAAUAAGCACCGGCUAACUUCGUGCCAGCCGCCGCGGUAAUACGAAGGGUGCAAGCGUUACUCGGAAUUACUGGGCGUAAAGCGUGCGUAGGUGGUUUGUUAAGUCUGAUGUGAAAGCCCUGGGCUCAACCUGGGAAUUGCAUUGGAUACUGGCAGUCUAGAGUGCGGUAGAGGGUAGCGGAAUUCCCGGUGUAGCAGUGAAAUGCGUAGAUAUCGGGAGGAACAUCCGUGGCGAAGGCGGCUACCUGGACCAGCACUGACACUGAGGCACGAAAGCGUGGGGAGCAAAC